GAAAUGCGAUAAGUAAUGUGAAUUGCAGAAUUCAGUGAAUCAUCGAGUCUUUGAACGCACAUUGCGCCCCCUGGUAUUCCGGGGGGCAUGCCUGUCCGAGCGUCAUUGCUGCCCUCAACCCCCACAUUCUAUGGUUGACCUCGGAUCAGGUAGGGAUACCCGCUGAACUUAA
rnacentral:misc_RNA from 1 species